rnacentral:lncRNA from 1 species
GCAUUUUACAAUUGACCCUGAUGUUGCUCUAUUGUAGCCUUUUUGUAUUCCUAUUCCUUUCAAAUUUGCAUUUUCUAUGUUUAUCAAUCCCUAGUUCUAAAUAUGCGCGCAUGCAACUUUUUAUUGGAUUGUUCCUAUGGCAUACCAUGUUAAAUUGUUUACAACGUGUGCAAUUACAUCCAUUUUGAUCUUACUAUAGGUGGAUAAAUUAGCUUGCUUAAUUAGUUGAAGAUCCUUACUACAACCAAUAAUUAGUUAUCACUAGCAGCCAGCAGUCAUGCGACAAUAAGAGGCUGAUAGAAAGCUACUCAAAUGCACCAUUCUGAAGUGCGCUUCUGUGUAUCAUCUACUCAUGCUGAAGAGUCCAUUUCAAAAUUCAGGAUGGUUGAGAAGUCUGCUAAUUCUUCUGAGUCAAGAAUUCUGAAGAUCUGAAUCAAAGUUGGCACUGAAAAUUUGUCUACAUGAAACAAAUCCGUUGCCAAAAUGAUUAGUUUAUUUCUACAAGUCUAGAUGCUCAAGAUUCGGAUAUGUAAAAUGAUCAGUUUUUGAUUGAUUCUUCUAUUAUGCCUAGAAGUGGGAAGAUCUCUCAUGCUAACAGUCUUGUGUUGAGCAAAGAUCCACGCAAACUUGAAAAGGGCCAAAGAGAGUCUAGAGACAGACACAAGGACUUCAUUGGAGGCUUGGAAUGCAAGAAGAAGACAAAUUCGUCAAUUUCAGGUGAAAGGCCUUCCCCCGGAAGGCUGAAGGGUUCUCAGCUAGUUGAAAAAAGAGGCGUUGUUGAAUACCAGCUAUCAUCCAAAGAAAAUAUAAUAGUGAAAAGCUGAAAAUCCAUCAUUCACAGAGAAAUAUCUUAAGGUGGCUUCUAAUCUGCCGCCUCCUGGAAAUGGCCAAGUUCUGGUGCUAUUCCAUUGGGCGUGGUCCUUCUAGUCAAUGAAGAUUGGGGCUCAUGUGAUAAGCAUCAAAAUGGAGACUUCUUCCUCUUCAUACAAAGCCUAAGAGUCUUCAUUGAUAAAUGGCUUCAUAGGAUGCUUAACUGUCUGCAAGUUUUAUCAACAUUAUAUAUGUAGCAUUCUAUCACGUCCUUACCCCCUGUUUGAGCCCCCAUUUGAGGGGGAAAAUGUCUUUUGGAAUAAUGAUUUUUUGGAGAACGUUUGGCUAAAAUAUAAGGAAAAAUUUUGGGUUUAUGUGGAGGACAAUGUGUGGUUGAAAAUGAAUUGGAAAAAUGAGUUUUUGGAAAAAUGGAGGCCAAACAUAGGCUUAGACUGACCACAAGAAAUAAGUUCUAUCAACGAUUUUUAUUGUUUUUGACUGAUUAGAAAGAAAGAUAAUGUACAACCAAUUUACGAGCAUAAAUUUUAAACAAAUAAGUUGAUAAAAAUUAUGAUCCUUGUGAGUUCGAUGGAGAAGUGCUGUUGAAUUCCCCUGUUAAACUUUAUACUACUGAAAGGGAUCUCUCUCUCAUGCAUAUAGUACUUGAGUCCUGGCAACUUCGAUAUUUUAACAUCUCUCUAGGGUGGAACUCACAAUGUGAGUCAAGUAUCUGCUGGUGAAGGCAAGGCACUUAGUGUGGUACAACAUGAUAUUUCAACUCACCAUGUUACAGAUGUCUACAAUGAUCACUUAUGUCAAGGCAAUUGUAUGCUUGUGGCAUGCUUCUUCAGAGCAAUUCCCAGAUGAAAGAACAAAUGCUGAUCAAUCUUGAAACAGUGGGUCUCACCGAAAAAACUGGGAAGGAGAUUUCUUUGUGUUCUAAAGGCCAGACUUGUAGUUCUAGAUCAGACUUUCAUAAAGAUAAAAAAACAAGAUUUCUGAUUCUUCUCAUAAAUCCUGAGAACAUGUGCAUUCACAUGAGAAAAAAUCGAAGAGUGAAGGGAAUAAGUUUGAGAAAUUUUCCACACCUGACAAAGCCUCAAAGAAUAUUAUUCCAUAAUAUUAGAAAAAGCAAGGAUAAAAAGCAUAAUAUUCAAAGGGAGCAGGAAAAAAGAAAAUCAACCAUCCAGCUUCUCUCUGGCAAAAGCAACCAGGCCAAAUCUGUGGAAGUGGCAAGUCACACUUACUACCACCCUUAGCAAGAGGUCAGACUGAAAAAGUAUCACUUGCCAAGCCUAUUUCUGGAUCUCGGGAAGAACAUGGAGUAAAAAGUGUUUGUAGUCAAUGUGUUUGGAGAUGCAUUAGAGGCACCGAACCGUAUUAAGAAAGCUCAGAGCCAGAGUGGAAAUCUACCUAUUAAUUCAAGAUAUCCUCCGAUUGCACAUAAGGAAUGGGAUAUUGAAGCCCCAAGUUCGGCUCGAAGGGAUCCUCCAGUGACACUGCUAUCAGUGCUAUAAAACAAGUGAAUGACCUUAAACACCUGGCUGAUCGUCUUAAGGUUUGUACACUUCAAGUUGAUUCUGAUGUAGUUGUUGGCAUCAAUGUGUUGAUGAUCCGUAAUAUGGUUCUUUGUGGCAGAACUUUGGAUCAACUGAAGUGCAGGGUUUUAUUUCCAGGCUGCUCUCACAAGGUGCGGCACUGAAGUUUGUCAGGGGAAAAAACAAUUCUCAACCUGAUGAUCAAGUAUAUUAUUAAGUGUAUUGGACUGUCUGCUCUCCAUGUUAGGAUAUGAGAUAAUAUCAGACCAUUAUUAGAUUUAUUCUUCAUACUUCUGUCUUGGGGUAUUUAUUAGGGGUGUGGCUAGGUCUUAUUCCUGUCAAUUUCUCACCAUCUAUUAUUAUUAUUACACCCCCCGCCCCCACCAUCUACUUGCAAUACAACGUUGUGCACUUUGACCAGUGUCCAGCACUCUUUGUUUUAUCUUUGUACGUGUCUCUCUGUUGCAUUCCUGCUGAUUGCACCUUAUUACUAUAGGCACAGGAUGUUGCUUGUGCAAUGGAGGCCUCUAGGAAAUCAAGAAUCGCUUUUGCAGUGGCCAGUCCAAGACUUGGAGAAGGUAUUUGUUCUCUCAAAAAGGCACUUGAUUUUAACUUGCAAGAUGUGGAUGAAAAAUUGCACAUUGUUAGAG